ACGGUCCCCUCCCGCUGCGCACACUGCCGACCCUGCGGCCGCGCGCUCUCCAGCCCUGCGCCUCUUUUGUGUGGCUGCGGCGCGCCGGGCUCCGCCGGGUGGAGUUGAGCCCGCGGCGGCUGCUCCGGGCGGCCGGACUGGCGGCUGUUGCUAAGAGACCGGAGCCAUGACACAGGGAAAUUGCGGCAGGAUGGCAUGCACACAGCCUCGCCCCCUACCCCACCUACACUUGAGAGUUUGCAGCGUGGAUGCCCCAAGAACACAGGAAACUACAGUUUUCCUAUUUAUUGUGUUAAAUACACAUAUGACCCCACGCGCAGAGGAGAGGAAUUAAGAAAGAUCCUACGUUAUAGCUGUUCCUGCAAAAGAUCUCUCAUCAGAACGGACUGUUCUGUUUAAAGGCUUACUCUAGGAGAAUGAAAACCACCAGGACGCACUACUUCGUUUCCUCAGCCAUGAAGGAAUGGAAGGAAGGACUUGGAGUGUCACAGCUGAACCCACAAGGGAGGACUGCCAGCCAACUUGGAGUCUAGAAGCUGUGCUCCUCAGCUUGGACUUCAGGGCUCCAUCAGCAGUUCUGGUUCCUUGACUUUCUGUUCCCAUCUCUACUGGCCUGUGGGGACACUAGGGUUGUGAUGGUUUCUAUAUGCUUGGUGGUCCGGGGAGUGGCAUGAUUAGAAGGUAUGGCCCUGUUGGAGUAGGAGUGACCCUGUGGGUGUGGGCUAUAAGACCCUUAUCCUAGCUGCCUGGAAGUCAGUAUUCUGCUAGUGACCUUCAGAUGAAGAUGUAGAACUCUCAGCUCCUUCAGCACCAUGCCUGCCUGGAUGCUGCAAUGCUCCCACCUUGAUGAUAAUGGACUGAACCUUUGAACCUGUAAGCCAGUCGCAAUUAAACGUUGUCCUUAUAAGA